rnacentral:sRNA from 1 species
ACCACCCGGCAAGGUGGUUUUUUCGAAGGUUCACAAUGUCGAUAAAACAUUUUGAACCGCGGUAACUGGAUCUUCACGGGAAACAGUCACCAAAUUUGUUCUCUCAGUGUAGCGUUAUGCUGCGUGAGUCUUCAAGUUAAUUGUAUAUAUUGUUAUAUAGAGUUAUCCGUAAAUCUCCCGUGAACCCCUAGUUACCAAUGGCUACCGCCACUGGCGAUUUUCGUGUCUGUCAGGCUUGGAUUCAAGAGUGUGUUACCUGAUGCGAUGCGGUAGUCGGACUAAACGGGGAGUUCGUGCAUAUAGUCCAGCUUGGAGCGAACCACCUACAAGGCACCCAGUUGCAUGGGAAGGAAUGAGAAAACGCCACCUUACGGCGGUCUGCAACGGGUAAACCUCAGGGUGGGAACAGGAAAGCGCACGAGGGAGCGACCUACCGGAAACGGUGGGGAUCUUUAAGUCCUGUCAGGUUUCGCCACUUCUGAUUUGAGCACCGGAAAUCAUCCGAUUUCUGUGAUGUUCAUCAGGAGGGCGAAGCCUAUGGAAAA